UCCUCGAUAGUAUAGUGGUGAGUAUUCCGGCCUGUCACGCCGGCGGCCCGGGUUCGAUUCCCGGUCGGGGAG